rnacentral:lncRNA from 1 species
CUUUUUCAAAAUGUGGCGGUGGCAGGGAAGGUUGUCUGCUCCAGAGGCUUCCCUAGAGUGAAGAGCUCUACUAUGUAUGCUUUAUGCGGCAGAAGGAGUGCUUUGGAGGAGUUUUUAAAUUUGUUUUUUUUUUAAAUCUUAUCGGUUUUAAUUGUAGCAAUGAUUCAAGAAACGUUAGUAGGUGCCCAUAACUUCGGUGGUGGAGAUCCAAAAGUGAACAAGACAGUGUUCUGGCUGCUAAAUUCUUCUUAACUGGUUAUGCCUGGAGACCUUCACUUGGUUCUGUGCCAGCACUGCCCAUGAACUUCAUAGACUGUGAUCUUUGCUAAGGCCUAAAUGAAUGAAGGAUGGAGCCUCAGAAUAGAGACCAGGUUGAAAAUCAGUCUUUUACUUAGAACCAUGAAAGCAGAUACUACAUCUUAUCCGUCUAUGACCUGGUGACCCAGAAGCCAUUAAUUUGACAUUACCAACAUACCUCCACACAAAGACUUUAUAAUCUUCAGUGUGAGAAUUAAACAAACAAACAAACAAAAACUUAAAACAACUUUGGAGGGGAGAACGAUAACCUAAAUUUUAAGCAUAAGAAAAUCCCUAACAAAAAGAUCCAACUAAUUGCCACUGGGGGGCGAUGGAAGUUCGUGAACUGCUCUGCUAAUCCCUGAGGCAACUGAGCACUUUAGUUGGUUUAUUUAUUCAAAGCUGGAAUUUGGACGUGUGACCCAUCAAGCUCAGGGAAAUUCCUGGAUGAGGAACACAGUCCUGGGAGAAACCUACCAAAGAUGGAAUUAGCACCUUGGCGAACCGCCUUCAGCGCAAAGAACUUUCUUUCCUUGUGUGUCUUAAGAAUUUACUUCAGUUCCCUUCUGUCUGAAGCAGAGGAAGCCAAGUUAAACUGUGAAUAAGCACGACAACAAAGAAGAGUUCUUAUUUAUCACUACCUGCAAACACAUGUGCAGGACCGGAAGCAGAAGACAGAAAGUGGAGACCAGAUGUUUGAAGCUGGGUAAAGGCAGGGAUGGAGCAGGAACCGAGGAACAAACCUUGGAACUAGGUAAGAAGUUCUCUCUAUGACAUUUCAUUGAGUAGUAAAGGGAGAGCCAAAGCGCUGUGUUAUUGGGACAGCUGUUUGUUGUAUGGUGGGCUGUUUGACUGAAAGGUCAAGUCACAAGGUCAAGUUCACCACAUCUCAGGGCGAUUUCUGCUUUUAUGAACCAGUCUUCACACCAGCAAGAUUCCUUGGCACCUCAAGGUUUGAAGAACAACUACACAACAAAAUUCACUCUAUUCUGGAUGAUGAUGGUCUCCCAACUCAGGUUUAAAGGGCAAUCACUUUCAAAUUAACUGGACAAUCACUCUCACUCUGCCCCAGAGAAUCACUUUUGAAACAUCAAAACACCUAUUUUGGCUCCCUUUUAUGGUACCUUGUCAUUUAAAUCAUACAAAAUGUUACAAAUACAGAACUGUCCAUGUAUGUUUUUAAUAGGGUCAGCGAUAUUAAUGCAGCAGCAGUGUAAGCAGAGCAUUUUAAGAAAUUCUUCCGGUCCUUUUGGAAUUCAGCUUAACAGACAUGUAUUGACAUAACUAACUUGUUCAAUAUGUCUUUCUGUAAGUUAUAAGUGAGGAGAAAGUAAAGCUUUCCAUUAAACUAACAGAUGAAAUUUUUGUAUUAGGGAUAAUGUACUAAUAUGAUACACACUAAUAGGAUAUAUAUUCCAAAGUGCUGUUACAUCAUUUAAUGCAAAGUUACCUCCUACUGGGAACUAAAUAUUAUUUUACAGAAAAUAUAAAUAAUGUAAAGACUUUCUGGGCACUCAGUAAUAACCUGGGAUGUGAAAUAACUUGAUUUGUGGCACUGGCCAUGUACAAUAUCUUUUUGUUGAAGAUGAUUAUCAGAAUUCUAUGGAAAAUGUAUUGUCAGGGUUGUAGAAUGGACGAUUCCUGUUAUGAUUCACUAGGGAACAAGCUUUUUUUUUAAAAUUUUUUUUAUUAUACUUUAAGUUUUAGGGUACAUGUGCACAACGUGCAGGUUAGUUACAUAUGCAUACAUGUGCCAUGUUGGUGUGCUGCACCCAUUAACUCGUCAUUUAACAUUAGGUAUAUCUCCCAAUGCUAUCCCUCCCCCUCCCCCCACCCCACAACAGGCCCCGGUGUGUGAUGUUCCCCUUCCUGUGUCCAUGUGUUCUCAUUCUUCAAUUCCCACCUAUGAGUGAGAACAUGCAGUGUUCGGUUUUUUGUCCUUGCGAUAGUGUGCUGAGAAUGAUGGUUUCCAGUUUCAUCCAUGUCCCUACAAAGGACAUGAACUCAUCAUUUUUUAUGGCUGCAUAGUAUUCCAUGGUGUAUAUGUGCCACAUUUUCUUAAUCCAGUCUAUCAUUGUUGGACAUUUGGGUUGGUUCCAAGUCUUUGCUAUUGUGAAUAGUGCCGCAAUAAACAUACAUGUGCAUGUGUCUUUAUAGCAGCAUGGUUUAUAAUCCUCUGGAUAUAUACCCAGUAAUGGGAUGGCUGGGUCAAAUGGUAUUUCUAGUUCUAGAUCCCUGAGGAAUCGCCACACUGACCUCCACAAUGGUUGAACUAGUUUACAGUCCCCCCAACAGUGUAAAAGUGUUCCUAUUUCUCCAUAUCCUCGCCAGCACCUGUUGUUUCCUGACUUUUUAAUGAUCGCCAUUCUAACUGGUGUGGGAACAAGCUUUGUAAAUGAUUGUUUUUGUUCUUAGUUGUCCUCUAAAUAAACUAGAAAGGUAGAAAGUGUU